rnacentral:rRNA from 1 species
UACGGAGGGGGCUAGCGUUGUUCGGAAUUACUGGGCGUAAAGCGCGCGUAGGCGGACCUGCAAGUCGGGGGGUGAAAGCCCGAGGCUCAACCUCGGAACUGCCUUCGAUACUGCGGGUCUCGAGUCCGGGAGAGGUGAGUGGAAUUCCUAGUGUAGAGGUGAAAUUCGUAGAUAUUAGGAAGAACACCAGUGGCGAAGGCGGCUCACUGGCCCGGUACUGACGCUGAGGUGCGAAAGCGUGGGGAGCAAACAGG